CUAAGGGGUACAGAAUUCCAUCAGGAUUUCAAUCCAGGCCAUUGCUGGGAAGCAUGAGCAUGAUGAGAAAUUGCUGUCUAACAGAUCCUUUGUGGACUUCCGACCAAAACCAUCCAGAGCACCAUAUGCUCCAGGUGUGGUGCUCGAUGGAUUGUUGAAGACCAAGAUUUCCUUUGUCGACCAGGAAUAAAAUCCAUGUUUCCCUCCAAUACAGAGAACAGUCAGAAGGAAAGGUGUAGCACAGCUGACCAAAACCCAGAAUCAUCUGCACUAUGGGCAUCUCCCACUGCAUCAUUCAGGACCCCAGGUUUAAAGCUCUUCCCAUGGGGACCACAUAUCAUGAGGAGGCAAUGGAGGACUGUGGCAGCACAGGGCUGUGCAAGGUGAACACUCACCUGAGCAUGGAGCAAGAUUAUAAAGGACAGAGUGCAGCUGGUGCAGGAUU